CCAAGCAUCGGGGAACCUGAGUUGGCGAACCCGAAAGUCUAGACACGAUGGAGAAGAGAGAGCAGAGAAGACCGGAUCAGCAAGCUGCUCUUAGACAAGCUGUUGGCUCACUUCAAGGCCAAUGGACACCGACACAAUGACACAACUCCUCUUGCCUACCCGGACUUGACACCCACUCAGCCGGCAGCUGGUAUCAUCUCCAAUGCACUUAAUACUGAAAGUGUCCCUGGAAUGGCCAAUGAGGAGAGACAGGAAACUUCACGGGUGAAUGGAUCCCAGAAAUAUUCCUGCCAGGAUCCUGCAUGUCAUCUCUACAGGCCAGGACAGAGGAUCAUGCAUUUACUCUGAGGAUGACAUGGGAGGAUCAGUGGGUGUUGAAUGUUGCUGCAAUAGUCUGUGUUUAGGGCACCGGCUUCCUGUUGCAUUCUCUGAAAUGGUGGUUGUUUGGUUCUUAACUGCAGAAAUAUCUUUUCCAGAGUGGUGGAGUGUGGCAGAGAGGGAGGCUGGAUAGUCGAAAAGUGAGAGGGUUUUUUUUCUGGUUUUCCAAAUCAACAGACUCAUUCUAUCACUCUGGGGAUCCUGUGUGAUGUUUCUAGAAAGAUGAACACUUCUUCCUUGCCUAUGCGAGAACUGUUACCACUUAAUAAAUCUCAUCUGGGCGGGGGCCCGCCAGGUGUGGAGUGCAGCCCC